rnacentral:rRNA from 1 species
AGUUUGAUCCUGGCUCAGAACGAACGCUGGCGGCGUGCUUAACACAUGCAAGUCGUACGAGAAACUGGAACUUCGGUUCCGGGAGUAAAGUGGCGCACGGGUGAGUAACGCGUAGGUAAUCUACCCUUGGGUUUGGAAUAACCCGCCGAAAGGCGUGCUAAUACCGGAUAAAAUCUUUCGGAGGGAUCUGAAAGAUCAAAGGUGGCCUCUCCAUGGAUGCUACCGCCUGAGGAUGAGCCUGCGUCCCAUUAGCUUGUUGGUAGGGUAAUGGCCUACCAAGGCUACGAUGGGUAGCUGGUCUGAGAGGAUGAUCAGUCACACUGGAACUGGAACACGGUCCAGACUCCUACGGGAGGCAGCAGUGAGGAAUAUUGCGCAAUGGGGGAAACCCUGACGCAGCGACGCCGCGUGGGCGAAGAAGGCCUUUGGGUCGUAAAGCCCUGUCUAGAGGGAAGAAAUUCUCAAUGGAAUAAUACCCAUUGAGAUUGACGGUACCUCUGGAGGAAGCACCGGCUAACUCCGUGCCAGCAGCCGCGGUAAUACGGAGGGUGCGAGCGUUGUUCGGAAUUACUGGGCGUAAAGCGGGUGUAGGCGGUUUGUUAAGUCAGAUGUGAAAGCCCACGGCUCAACCGUGGAAGUGCAUCUGAAACUGGCAGACUUGAGUACCGGAGAGGGAAGUGGAAUUCCUGGUGUAGGGGUGAAAUCCGUAGAUAUCAGGAGGAACACCGGUGGCGAAGGCGACUUCCUGGACGGAUACUGACGCUGAGAUCCGAAAGCGUGGGGAGCAAACAGGAUUAGAUACCCUGGUAGUCCACGCCCUAAACGAUGGGCACUAGGUGCAGGGGGUGUUGACCCCUCCUGUGCCGCAGCUAACGCAUUAAGUGCCCCGCCUGGAGUCACCAC